rnacentral:rRNA from 1 species
UACGUAGGCAGCAAGCGUUGUUCGGAAUUACUGGGCGUAAAGCGUGCGUAGUCGGUAUUGAGAGUCGCGGGUGAAAUCCCAGGGCUUAACCCUGGAACUGCCUGCGAGACCUCAGUACUAGAGUGUGAGAGGGGAUAGUGGAAUACCCAGUGUAGCGGUGAAAUGCGUAGAGAUUGGGUGGAACACCGGUGGCGAAGGCGGCUAUCUGGCUCACAACUGACGAUCAGGCACGAAAGCGUGGGGAGCAAACAGG